AGCAGCCGCGGUAAUUCCAGCUCCAAUAGCGUAUAUUAAAGUUGUUGCAGUUAAAAAGCUCGUAGUUGAAUUUCGGGGUUAGUAGGUUGGUCAUGCCUCUGGUAUGUACUGGUCUCACUGAUUCCUCCUUCCUGAUGAACCUUAAUGCCAUUAAUUUGGUGUUUUGGGGAAUUUGGACUGUUACUUUGAAAAAAUUAGAGUGUUUAAAGCAAGCUAACGCUUGAAUACAUUAGCAUGGAAUAAUGAAAUAGGACGUUCGAUCCUAUUUUGUUGGUUUCUAGGAUUGACGUAAUGAUUAAUAGGGAUAGUUGGGGGCAUUAGUAUUCAAUUGUCAGAGGUGAAAUUCUUGGAUUUAUUGAAGACUAACUACUGCGAAAGCAUUUGCCAAGGAUGUUUUCAUUAAUCAAGAACGAAAGUUAGGGGAUCGAAGACGAUCAGAUACCGUCGUAGUCUUAACCAUAAACUACGCCGACUAGGGAUCGGAUGAUGUUAAUUUUUUAAUGACUCA
rnacentral:rRNA from 1 species